UACGAACGCUGGCGGCGCGCUUAACACAUGCAAGUCGAGCGAGAACCAGUCCUUCGGGGCUGGGGACAGCGGCGAACGGGUGAGUAACACGUGGGUAAUCUGCCCUCGGCACCGGAAUAGCCCGGGGAAACCCGGAUUAAUGCCGGAUGGCCUCUCUGCCCCUCGGGGCGGCGAGAAAAGGUAGCUUCGGCCUCCGGCCGAGGAUGAGCCCGCGGCCGAUUAGCUUGUUGGUGAGGUAACGGCUCACCAAGGCGACGAUCGGUAGCUGGUCUGAGAGGACGAUCAGCCACACUGGGACUGAGACACGGCCCAGACUCCUACGGGAGGCAGCAGUGGGGAAUCUUGCGCAAUGGGCGAAAGCCUGACGCAGCGACGCCGCGUGCGGGAAGAAGGCCUUCGGGUUGUAAACCGCUUUCAGGAGGGACGAAGCCACUCGGGUUAAUAGCCCAGAGGGUGACGGUACCUCCAGAAGAAGCCCCGGCUAACUACGUGCCAGCCGCCGCAGUAA
rnacentral:rRNA from 1 species